ACGCUCGACACCUAGGGAGCAGCAGUGAGGAAUAUUGGUCAAUGGGCGCAGGCCUGAACCAGCCAAGUAGCGUGAAGGAUGACUGCCCUAUGGGUUGUAAACUUCUUUUAUAUGGGAAUAAAGUUUUCCACGUGUGGAAUUUUGUAUGUACCAUAUGAAUAAGGAUCGGCUAACUCCGUGCCAGUAGCCGCGGUAAUCUGAGCGGGCUGGCAAGGC
rnacentral:rRNA from 1 species